rnacentral:rRNA from 1 species
AUUGAACGCUGGCGGCAGGCCUAACACAUGCAAGUCGAGCGGAAGAAGGGAGAUUGUUCCUUGAUUGAGGAGGGGACGCGUGAGUGAGGGUUAUGAAUGUGCCUCUGAGUGGGGGAUGAGGUUAGGUAACGGGCGCUAAUGCUGCAUACGUAUAGCGUCGGAAAGUGGAGGAUCUUCGGACCUCACGCUAUUAGAUGAGCCUAGGUGGGAUUAGCUAGUAGGUGGGGUAAAGGCCUACCUAGGCGACGAUCCCUAACUGGUCUGAGAGGAUGAGCAGCCACACUGGAACUGAGACACGGUCCAGACUCCUACGGGAGGCAGCAGUGGGGAAUAUUGCACAAUGGGCGAAAGCCUGAUGCAGCCAUGCCGCGUGUAUGAAGAAGGCCUUCGGGUUGUAAAGCACUUUCAGUGGGGAGGAAGGGAGGAAAGUUAAUACCUUGCCGUAUUGACGUUACCAGCAGAAUAAGCACCGGCUAACUUCGUG